GUGAUCCCCGUGGGAGAGUUCCGCGAUCGUUUCACAGUGAUACGCGGACGCCGAAGGAGCAACCACCCCGGAAACUCUCAGGCAUAAUGGACCGCGGGGAGAUG
rfam:Thalassospira sp. MCCC 1A01428 contig1, whole genome shotgun sequence.